UUUNGUUUGCCCCUUCCCAUCCAACGCUCCUUGCGGGUUGUUGGAGGGCCGCACAGCAGUCCCCGUGUUCCUCGAGAGCGUCGYUCGGGCGUCGGCUCUCGAAGGCCCGCGGGGAUCURCUGGACCCUCGGAUGCGGUUCGUGUGGGCGGUCGUGCGACGGACGUCGCAUCCGGCCGUGYRAAAUUUCGGUUUGCCUGAACGAUGUCCGUGCCUGCGUCGACGUCCGCCUUGCCCCGGCUCGGCGGUGUCGUGCAAGGCCCGGCAUCACGGAGGGAUGCUACCUGGUUGAUCCUGCCAGUAGUCAUAUGCUUGUCUCA
rnacentral:misc_RNA from 1 species